rnacentral:lncRNA from 13 species
CCCUAUCAAGGCUGGAUUGAGUCUUGCUUACUUUUGCACCAAUCAAUGGCAAAGGCGAAAGGAUUACUUCUAGAUGGCUCAAGUGCUCCCCCAGACUGGGGACGUUUCCCCAGAGCUGGAGUGUGAUGGCCCACACAUGGCUCACUGCGAUCUUGACCUCCCAGGCUCAAGCAAUCCUCUCAUCUCAGCUUCUUGAGUAGCUGGGACUACAGACAUGCAUCACCAUACCUGGCCAACUCUCUUUUAAAAUCUUUUUGUACAGAUAGGAUCUUGAGGGCAUCAGGACCUAUUCUUCUCAUGGCUUUAUUAGAUUGGCCUGAACUAUCAGCAACUGUGGUGGCUUGCUGCUAUUAUCAUCCUUCCUGCUUCUCACUGCUACCCAGGAGAGUCCAGUCCACCAAAAAUGGUUACAAUCAGAUCCCUUGGCAUAAGGAAAGCAAGCUUCCCUGUUGUGAGCAGCCAUAUAGAGAGACCCACGUGACAAGGAGCUGGUAUCUCAAGCCAGCAGACAGCAAGGGGCUGAGGCCUGCUGACAGUCACGUGGGUGAGUAUGGAAGUAGACCCUUCUCCAGCCGGGCUUUCAGAUGACUGCAGCCUCAGCCGACAUCUUGGUUGCAGCUUCAGGAGAUACCCUGAGUUGGAAGCCUCCAGCUAAGCCUUAAAUGGAUUCAUGACUCACAGAAACUGUGAAAUAAUAAAUGUUUUUAGCCACUAAAGUAUGGGAUAGUU